rnacentral:rRNA from 1 species
AGCGUAGACGGUGUGGCAAGUCUGAUGUGAAAGGCAUGGGCUCAACCUGUGGACUGCAUUGGAAACUGUCAUACUUGAGUGCCGGAGGGGUAAGCGGAACUCCUAGUGUAGCGGUGAAAUGCGUAGAUAUUAGGAGGAACACCAGUGGCGAAGGCGGCUUACUGGACGGUAACUGACGUUGAGGCUCGAAAGCGUGGGAGCAAACA